rnacentral:rRNA from 1 species
CAGUAGCCGCGGUAAUACGGAGGGAGCUAGCGUUGUUCGGAAUUACUGGGCGUAAAGCGCGCGUAGGCGGUUACUCAAGUCAGAGGUGAAAGCCCGGGGCUCAACCCCGGAACUGCCUCUGAAACUAGGUGACUAGAAUCUUGGAGAGGUCAGUGGAAUUCCGAGUGUAGAGGUGAAAUUCGUAGAUAUUCGGAAGAACACCAGUGGCGAAGGCGACUGACUGGACAAGUAUUGACGCUGAGGUGCGAAAGCGUAGGGAGCAAACAGGAUUAGAUACCCGGGUAGUCCCUGUCUCUUAUAC